rnacentral:rRNA from 1 species
GACGAACGCUGGCGGCGUGCUUAACACAUGCAAGUCGAACGCUGAAGCCCUUUCGGGGGUGGAUGAGUGGCGAACGGGUGAGUAACACGUGGGUAAUCUGCCCUGUACUUCGGGAUAAGCCUUGGAAACGGGGUCUAAUACCGGAUAGGACCUGUCCUCGCAUGGGGGUGGGUGGAAAGUUCCGGCGGUAUGGGAUGAGCCCGCGGCCUAUCAGCUUGUUGGUGGGGUAGGGGCCUACCAAGGCGACGACGGGUAGCCGGCCUGGGAGGGUGGCCGGUCACAAUGGGACUGAGACACGGCGCAGACUGCGACGGGGGGCAGCAGUGGGGAAGCUUGCGCAGUGGGCGAAAGCCUGGCGCAGCAACGCCGCGUGGGGGAUGACGGCCUUCGGGUUGUAAACCUCUUUCGACAUCGACGAAGGGGCCCUGUUGUGGGGUUUUGACGGUAGGUGUAGAAGAAGCACCGGCUAACUACGUGCCAGCCGCCGCGGUAA